CGUCAGUCCGCUAAUUAAUCCUGGACAGCAACCUGCGGACUUGGAGAUAAGAGGAGGCUGCGGCGGAAGGCACUGUACUGCGGGGAGCCGGGGCAGUAGUACAAGCUGUACUCUUGGCUUCGGGCAAAGCCAGUGUAGUACGUACUUCACGUACUCCGAGUCUUUUCCCAGCGAUGGAGCAGCAAAAAGUACGACGCCAAUCGAUGCCAUCCUCCUCCCGACCCCGUGGAAAAGAGUCUAUAAUACGUGAGCGCUUUGCCUGCGUUUUGGCCAGGCAAACGCAGCCUCCAUCAUUAAUCCGGUCAUCAGCAAAGGUUAAUUAGGCCCGGAGAUUUUUGCAGCUGAGAGCGGGGAGGGAACGAAUCGGAAUCGGCAUCGUUAUCGGCAUCGGCAGCGGCGAUGGAGACAGAGAGAUGGAACGCGAGGGAGUUCCUACAGGGGCGAGCUGGGAACACACGGUGAUGAGGCGGUCUGGUCUUUCGUGUGUUCUCAGGUCGCCCCUGCCGGGACUCUCUGGUUGAUUAUGUAUAUGUUGAUUAUUUUCUCUUGCCAAAAGGUCUCCUAAAUGGCGCGGUGUAGAAAUGAUUGAGAGGACCAAAAAGGGAGAGGAUUUGCGCGGGCUGGAUUUGGACUGAAGGACAUCACAACUUGUGACAACUGCCACGACUUCAUACAAACUCCAUUUUGGGCAUGUAAGUACAAAUGGAUCCAUCCUCAUGUCCAUAUCUAUUCUGGAGAGUCUGCAAUCAUCAUUUUACUACAAAGACUUUUUUAUGUCCACGGUGCUACGUCACCUUAUUUGGGUCGAAUAUGAUGCGUACCAAGUUGAGUCCGUUAGAGACACGCCUUAUAGUUAGAGGACAACCCCAACUCAUUCUCCACCUAUAUAUUUCCCUUAGCCGCCAUAGAUCAACUCGGGUUUUGUUUAGAUCAAAGUUUAGUGUCGCUAUUUUGCCGUGUAAUCUUGUGAUCAAUUAGAUUGCCGUUUUGCUCGUUACGGAACCCCACCUUUGACACUCUUGUUGAUUUAAUCCUACAUCUUUAUUCC